GGGCGCGGCGGGCGGAGCGAGCGGAGCCAUGUCGGGCCGGGAGGGCGGCAAGAAGAAGCCGCUGAAGCAGCCGAAGAAGCAGACGAAGGACCUGGAUGAGACAGAUCUGGCAUUCAAACAAAAGCAGAAGGAGGAGCAAAAGAAACUUGAGGAGAUGAAAGCAAAAGCUGCUGGAAAAGGGCCUCUGGCCAGUGGUGGAAUAAAGAAGUCUGGCAAAAAGUAGUUUGAUUAAACUGCAGGGUAAGAAGUGAUCGAGUUACUCAAUGGAUCUGCAGACUUCAGAGAGUUAUGAAAACUCACUGUCAUUUUGGGAACAUUGUACAUUUUGUUUAGUCGGAAUAAAUCCUUUUUGUUAAGAUGUGAUAUUUUCUAUUUCCCUCUAGGUUUUGUUUAAAAAUGGCUUUACUGUUUUACACUGGUAAUGAAAUGUGACCUUGUGCAGCCUGAGUGCAUCUGUGGCGGUUGGUAGUUGUUUGUGAGACUAAAUUUCAGUUUCUGCCCUCUUUUGACAAUGGGAGACAGGGUCUGAGUGUUAAAAUCUGCACAGUUUUAAUCUGGAAGUUUAGGUUUAGCUGCAGGUUUUUGAGAUGCGUGCUCUUGUAAGAGGUGCAAGUUUUCCCUAAAGAAAAAUUGGGUUGUACUUCUGCUGCCAGCAGCUUAGGGUCUGCCAGUCUCCACAACAACACUCCAUUCCGUGUUCCUACUUAACAACGUUGCAGUGCCCUACAGUCCCAGUGCCUGCUGGAUGUACACUUGCCUUUGUCCUACAGAUAGUCACUACACCCUAUUCUCCUGAACUUUUGCAUGUUGUCGUCGCAGCUCCUUUACACUCAUGGAAUGCCUUGAGCAGGGGGAGAAGGGAGGGGAACAGUCCUUGUGAGACUGUAACUUAACUUUUAAAAUACAGAGCUAUGGCAGUACAUUGGGUGUGGAAACCUCAAGGAAGGGUAUGAUGAUCCCAAGGUAGGAGUUAACGGUGGGGCUGAGGGGGGAAGAAUUAAUGAAGAGCCCUUCUUACUGGAUAGUAAGAGCAGGCCAGAGGCUGCUCCUGCUGUCAGGAGGGGCAGGUGACGGCUGCAGAAAAGGAAUGGCUGCUGUGGACAAGGAGGCACUCAGGCUGCACUGGGGGGAGCUACACGGGAAAUCUGGGCUCGUUCACAUUCUGGGCUCCUAAGGAAGAGAGCGCACGUCUCGGUUGCCAUCGCACGACGUGCAGCUAAGAGGGUUUGCUUGUUAAAAAAAGACAUUCUAGGGGCUGAGGGCGGGGCCGCGCCCGGGGGUCCCUCAGCGUGCCCGGGCUCUGCCGCCCCCGCGCGGCGGCCGCGGGAGCUGCGGGGCCUCCAUGGCAGGGGUGCGGCUGCGCACGCGCAGCGCUUCCCGCCGCCGGAGCGGCCCUCACAGCGCCCUCGGUGUCCCCUCAGUGUCCCCUCAGUGGCCCCACUGUGUCCCCACUGCCCUCCAAAGGGGUGAAAAUCAGCCUUUGGCGGCACCAAGAGAAUUGUUGUCUCUAAAGGUACUACUCUGGAGAACAGAUUGAGUCCUGCCAACUCACGGAGCCGGUGAAGGCUGGAAUUCACGCUUGAAUGAUUUCUGCGUUUUGGAUAAAGACACAGGAAGUAACUUUCCCUUGCUUCCUCUACAACUAAUCUCUUUGGUGAUACAAAGCGUUACCUGCGUGGAGAGGAAGAUAACAUGAAGGACUGUCUUUAAAGGAGAAAUGAAAGAAUGUUACCACCUCUUCUCAAUGUGUAGUAUUAAACAAAAAAGGAAAAAAAAAAAAGUGCCACUUUACAAACUUUGGAGAAUAAAAUUAUUUUCCCGUGGAAUUGUCAAGAGGUAGCCAAGGACAGAGAAGCCCAGUCAGUAGCACCAACCAUUCUUCCUCCGGGUCCUCGGGCGGUGGAAUGUCUGCGUCAGGCUGAGUCUCCUCAUCAUCUGACUCCCUUUCUGAAGUCUUUCCAGCAGCUUCGCUCUGACCCAGCUCCUGUACUUCGUGCCUUUUGUCGAUGAUCUUCUGAGUGAAAUCCACCAGAGCCCAGGAGCUACCUUGAUUGAUCCAAUAUGUCCUGCUCUUCUGUCUUCUGCUCAACAUCUUUCGAGGCUCGAUUUGCAACUCCUGUGUUUUGUUUG